AAUAAACGAAUUUAUGAGUUUUUACAUAGAUUUUUUGAGUCUUCGUCUUAUUUGAAAAAUUAUGAUUAAUAUUUUUGUUAUUAUUACAUGAUAAAAUAUGAAAAGUUUUACAUGUGACUAAUUUUUUUUAAUUUUUUAAUAAAUUUUUCAAAUAAGACGAUGGUCAAACGGUCUAUACAUAGAACUCAGA
rnacentral:pre_miRNA from 1 species